GGAUGCGACCAUACCAGCACUAACGCACC
rnacentral:rRNA from 1 species